GACGAACGCUGGCGGCGUGCUUAACACAUGCAAGUCGAACGGAAAGGCCCUGCUUGCAGGGUACUCGAGUGGCGAACGGGUGAGUAACACGUGGGUGAUCUGCCCUGCACUUCGGGAUAAGCCUGGUAAACUGGGUCUAAUACCGGAUAGGAGCCAUUUUUAGUGUGAUGGUUGGAAAGUUUUUUCGGUGUAGGAUGAGCUCGCGGCCUAUCAGCUUGUUGGUGGGGUAAUGGCCUACCAAGGCGGCGACGGGUAGCCGGCCUGAGAGGGUGGACGGCCACAUUGGGACUGAGAUACGGCCCAGACUCCUACGGGAGGCAGCAGUGGGGAAUAUUGCACAAUGGGCGCAAGCCUGAUGCAGAGACGCCGCGUGGGGGAUGACGGCCUUCGGGUUGUAAACUCCUUUCGCUAGGGACGAAGCUUUUUGUGACGGUACCUAGAUAAGAAGCACCGGCUAACUACGUG
rnacentral:rRNA from 1 species